AUGCUCGUCCAGGACCGCGUGCUCCCGGAGCACGCCGGGAGCACCAAGUCGCCCAGGUCCCCGCGCGCCGCGCCGGGCUCCGACCGGCGCCACCCGCGGCCCUUCGCCAAGAGCCUCGACUUCAGCAACUGGGCAUCGGAGCACUCCUCCAAGCUCCUCCUCCUCCUCUUCGCCGUCGCCUCCGUCGCCGCCGUCUUCCUCCUCCGCGGCGCCGGCCCGGACGCCGCUGCGCUCCUCUGCCUCGACCGCUCCAGCUCCCGCUCCGCCUCCGGCCCCACCAAGCUCCCCUACCCGGACGUCGCCUGGUCCAAAAUCCCGCCGCUCGCCAUCGCCUCGGCCGUCCCCUUCGCCUCCUUCCGCGCCGAGAGGUGGAUCGUCGUCUCCGUCUCCUCCCCGCCCACCGCCGCGCUCGCCGCGCUCACCCGCGUCAAGGGCUGGCAGCUCCUCGCCGUCGGCAACUCCCACACCCCCUCCGGCUGGGACCUCAAGGGCGCCAUCUUCCUCUCCCUCGACCUGCAGGCGCAGCUCGGCUACCGCUCGGUUGACUUCCUGCCCUACGCCUCCCACGUCCGCAAGACGGCGGGCUACCUCUUCGCCAUCCAGCACGGGGCCAAGCUGAUCUUCGACGCCGAUGACCGCGCCGAGAUGCCGGGGAAUGAUCUGGGGAAGCAUUUCGAUGUUGAUCUCGGAUCUGGCAUCGCCAACCACCCCGUGCUGCUCCAGUACAGCCACGCGGAUCCCAACCGCACGGUGGUGAACCCCUAUGUGCACUUCGGCCAGCGCUCGGUGUGGCCGCGGGGGCUGCCACUGGAUAAGGUCGGGGAGGUGGCGCACGAGGCGUUCUACACUGAGAUCUUCAGUGGCCGCCAGUUCAUUCAGCAGGGCUUGUCUGACGGUUUGCCGGAUGUGGAUGCCGUGUUCUACUUCACUAGAAAGCCGCCAACAGCGCCAUUCGACCUGAGGUUUGAUCCGGAGGCCCCCAAGGUGGCGCUUCCACAGGGCAUGAUGGCGCCAGUGAACUCCUUCAAUACAUUGUUCCACGCACAGGCUUUCUGGGGCCUGAUGAUGCCUGUUUCAGUGAGUUCAAUGGCGGCAGAUGUCAUCCGUGGGUACUGGGCUCAGCGGAUCUUGUGGGAGAUUGGUGGGUACGUGGCUUUCUAUCCACCAACUAUUUACCGGAAGGAUCAUGUGCAGGCCUACCCAUUUGCAGAGGAGAAGGAUCUGCAUGUGAAUGUUGGUAGACUGAUCAAAUUCUUGAAUGAGUGGAGGUCAAACAAGCAGAGCCUGUUCGAGAAGAUUCUUGAUUUAAGCUACGCCAUGGCUGAGGAGGGGUUCUGGAUGGAGCAGGAUGUGAGAUUGACAGCUGCUUGGCUGCAGGAUCUUCUGGCAGCAGGGUAUCGGCAGCCUCGGCUCAUGUCAUUGGAGAUUGACAGGCAACGGGCAACCAUUGGGGAGGGUGACAUGAAGGAGUUUGUGCCCAAGAAGCUGCCAUCCGUGCACCUUGGGGUUGAUGAAAUUGGCACAGUGAACUAUGAGAUUGGAAAUCUGAUUAAGUGGAGAAAGAACUUUGGUAAUGUUGUGCUGAUCAUGCAUGUUAGUGGACCUGUAGAUCGUGUGGCCUUGGAGUGGAGGCUGCUAUAUGGACGGAUAUUCAAGACCGUUAUUAUACUUGCCGAGCAUAGCAAUGCAGAGCUUGCUGUUGAACGCUGCGCUCUGUCACAUGCAUACAAGUAUCUUCCCAAGGUGUUUGCAAGAUACGGUGGUGCUGAUGGAUUUCUCUUCCUCCAAGACCACAUGAUUCUUAACUACUGGAACCUUCUGCAAGCCGACAAGGAAAAACUCUGGAUAACUGAUAAGAUUGCACAUUCUUGGGUUACUAUUCCACUGGAGAGCAAUAAAGAGGAAUGGUUUGUUAAGCAAGGUGCUAUGGUUAAGCAGGUCGUUGGCAGUUCCCCUGUUCAUUUCCAGUCCAAGUAUAAAGAAAGCAUGGGCGAAGAUAAGAUUGUGUUCUGUGGCAGCGAACUGUUUUAUGUGCCCCGACAGUUUGUUGAGGACUUCGGUGAUCUUGUGGGUCUCGUUGGCAGUUUGGAUCUGCAUCAUAAGAUUGCGGUCCCGAUGUUCUUCUUGGCGAUGGACUCGCCUCAAAAUUUUGAUUCCGAAGCUCUGGCCGGAACAGUUUUCAAGACCAACUUGGCAGCCAAUGAGACUUUCUCAAGUAUUUAUACAGCUCAGUCACCUGCUGUUUUCCCAGUUAAAGUGAUGAACGAGAUUGAUUUCAUCAAGGUAAUCCGGCUUAUGUCCAAAGGAGACCCUCUUCUGAUGGAGUUGGUAUAA
rnacentral:rRNA from 1 species